UAAAAUGAGAGUUUGAUCCUGGCUCAGGAUAAACGCUGGCGGCAUGCCUAAUACAUGCAAGUCGAACGGAGGUGCUUGCACCUCAGUGGCGAACGGGUGAGUAACACGUAUCUAAUCUACCUUCUAGCGGGGGAUAACUUUUGGAAACGAAAGGUAAUACCGCAUGUGGAUAUUAUUAUCGCAUGAGAAAAUAUUCAAAGAUCCGUUUGGAUCACUAGAAGAUGAGGAUGCGGCGUAUUAGCUAGUAGGCGGGGUAAAAGCCCACCUAGGCGAUGAUACGUAGCCGAACUGAGAGGUUGAUCGGCCACAUUGGGACUGAGAUACGGCCCAGACUCCUACGGGAGGCAGCAGUAGGGAAUUUUUCACAAUGGGCGAAAGUCUGAUGAAGCAAUGCCGCGUGAGUGAUGACGGCCUUCGGGUUGUAAAGCUCUGUUGUAAGGGAAGAAAAAAUAGGAGAGGAAAUGCUCUUAUCUUGACGGUACCUUACCAGAAAGCCACGGCUAACUAUGUUCCAGCAGCCGCGGUAAUACUUAGGUGGCAAGCGUUAUCCGGAUUUAUUGGGCGUUUAAGGUGCGUAGGCGGUUUUGCAAGUUUGAGGUUAAAGCCCGGAGCUCAACUCCGGUUCGCCUUGAAAACUGUGAGACUAGAAUAUCAGAGAGGUAAGCGGAAUUCCAUGUGUAGCGGUAAAAUGCGUAGAUAUAUGGAAGAACACCAGUGGGCGAAAGCGGCUUACUGGCUGAUUAUUGACGCUGAGGCACGAAAGCGUGGGGAGCAAAUAGGAUUAGAUACCCUAGUAGUCCACGCCGUAAACGUUGAGUACUAAGUAUUGGGGAUUACCUCAGUGCUGCAGCUAACGCAUUAAGUACUCCGCCUGAGUNGUNUGCUCGCAAGAGUGAAACUCAAAGGAAUUGACGGGGACCCGCACAAGUGGUGGAGCAUGUGGUUUAAUUCGAAGCAACACGAGAACCUUACCAGGGCUUGACAUCCAGUGCAAAGCUACAGAGAUGUAGUGGAGGUUAACAUUGAGACAGGUGGUGCAUGGUUGUCGUCAGUUCAUGCCGUGAGGUGUUGGGUUAAGUCCCGCAACGAACGCAACCCUUGUCGUUAGUUACUAACAUUAAGUUGAGGACUCUAACGAGACUGCUAGUGUAAGCUAGAGGAAGGUGGGGAUGACGUCAAAUCAUCAUGCCCCUUAUGUCCUGGGCUACACACGUGCUACAAUGGGCCGAUACAAAGAGUCGCAAUCUCGCGAGGGGGAGCUAAUCUCAAAAAGUCGGUCUCAGUUCGGAUUGAAGUCUGCAACUCGACUUCAUGAAGCCGGAAUCACUAGUAAUCGCGAAUCAGCUAUGUCGCGGUGAAUACGUUCUCGGGUCUUGUACACACCGCCCGUCAAACCACGAGAGUUGGUAAUACCAGAAGUACGUUUCCUAACCGUAAGGAAGGCGCGUCCCAAGGUAGGACUAGCGAUUGGGGUUAAGUCGUAACAAGGUACCCGUACGGGAACGUGCGGAUGGAUCACCUCCUUUCU
rnacentral:rRNA from 1 species